GAAAGUGAUGGCUUUAUUUGCUUUACUGAUUAAAAACAGCCCAGGAGGUCACAUACCUACCAGAAUCUAACCCCCACCCCAGCCUCUCUUUCUUGGUUUCUUGCACUUCCAUUGAGAAGUGGCCGGGGCUUCGGUGGCAGCCUGGCAGGACGGACGGUGGUAGGUGUGGGCGUCAGGGAACUGCUGUUGGGAGCCGAAGUGCUGGGUUUGCGUUCCGGCUCCUGGUUUCACUUAAGUGACUCUGUGACCGUGGGCUGUGUUCUCAAUUAGUGCCACAGAUUCUUCCUGAGGAAGGCAGCUCUGAGCAGGAGCUCCUGGUAAAUCUGAAGGACUCGGCCGGAGAAGUGCUGAACUGUGGAUGUGUCAAACCUGGUCGCUGAGCUGAAAUCCCUUUUCCUGCUGGGACUAUGUGUCUACACUACACACAUGGCAGAGCUGGGUGUCUCUGGAUAUCGGUUGAAGUCCUAAAGCCGAGGACAGUAGACAGGUUUCUCACCGAACUUGGAGCUCAUCAAUUCAGCUAAAUUGGUUGGCCAGCAAGUCCUGGGAUCUGCCUAUCUCUGCCUCUACCCCAGCUAGAGCCCUCAUAGGUCCCUGGGAUUCAACGUGGAUCCUCAGGUGUAUGUUUGUUUUGGCUCAGCUCUGAGCUCUCUGGGAACUCAAAGUCCUGACUAACGGCAUUGUUGGACCUGGGUGCCUCUGAGGAAGAUCUGUCUGAGAAAGAAGAGAUAGAGCUGAGAUGUUAAAUGUUUCCAACAAAAGCUAUCAGGGCAGAAUGUCCUGACUCAGCACUUCCCGGCAUUUUUUGAGGUUUUGUCCACAGACAAUGUACAGUUACUCCUUUUUGAGCAUGUGGUUUUCUUUAUUUAGUUUUUCCUCCCUUAAGCUUAUGGGUUUUCAUUGACGAGAUGGUUGUGCAAGUCUGAGGUGCAGGCACUGCCCGGAAGCUGGUUUACUCGCACGGAUGCCACACUUGUUAAGAGAAUGAGCAAGCAGAGGGAGACCAACUGUACCAUCACGAGAACAAGGUGUCUCCUCAUCGCCCAGGGAAGAUGUAGCUGGUUUAUGGAAGAAGAAUCCCAUGGGUGGACAAACACUUGAAGCUCACCAACAGGACCCGACACUCACCACCGAGGGGUUAGAAAGGACUGCCCAUGGCCUCUGACAUAAGGAGGCUUUUUUUGUCUAGAGGACCUCAUCUGCCAAAGUGGGCUGGGAGAGGCCACCUGAGACUAACAGUGGCUUGCCAGGUGUUAAAGAAGCACUAGAACCUGAUCCUCGCUUGCAGUCCCGUUUGUGGGGCUCCCCUGCUUCCAGCACUCCUCUGCUUCCGAGAGUUCCCUUUCUCUCCUUUCAUUUUCUGUAAGGUCAAAGAUAAAGACCUGGCUUCAGGGUCCCACCACAGACAAGCUGUGCAACCGUUCAUGAGAUUUCAAGCUUGCUUGGACUCAGCUCCUUCAUUUUUGUAAACCAGAAAAGUAAGACCUGCUUUUAAAUGCUUCUGGCCUCAGAUCUAAAUGGAAGCCAGAACAGCCCGUCUCUCAUAACAGAGAGUGAUUGGUCAACGUCAGCCACGUUCGUGCUGGUGAUUUGACUCUGGUAUGGGCAUCUGGGGCCAAUGGUGGCUCUUGGUAGCUGGUCUUGAAAUUCAUUUUGGGAAAGGUACUGCCCACUUUCUUAGAGUGUUGGGGGUGGCGCUGAGCUCUGAGAAGCUGGACCUGAAGAAGAGUCUAGCCAAGAGAUCUCGGAUUUCUCCAGAGUUCAUGGGCGGAGCAGAGCCUGAACAUUCAUGCUGUGACAAGAGGCACAAUGGCUGCUUGGGCCCACAUUACCUCUUGUCUUCCACCACUGGCCUGAGCCAAUACAAUCAACCGCUCCACUCUCUCCCACUUGGUAACCUGAAAACUUCUGAGGAUCUAUGAUAACCACUUUGUCAUUACUGAGGAGAAAAUGAACAAAAAAGACAGCCACUGGCAUAGGGAAGGGUCAGGCAAGGGCAAGUCUCCAAAAUUUGGCAGAAAGGGUUGGGGUCUGAAAAACAAAUGUAACUAAGCAAGGAGUCUGUCCUUCUUCCUUCUACUCCCCAUGCCCUCUCUGGACUCCUAUUCCAAGAUCUUUAAUUUUGAAAUUUUAAACAAGAAAGUGUAUUAAUCUUCAAGAGCUCUCAUUAAUCACCAUGCCUGGCCCAGUGGUGAGGGAGAAAGAGAGAGAUGACUCACUUCUACAGUUGAUUUCUUGGUAAUGGAGGGUCAGGGCCUGCCCUUACAUUACCCCUUUGUCGAACUAAUGGAGAAAACUCUCACUUAGGAAGCACCCAUUCUGGAGCAAUUUUUCAGUGGAAGAUUGCAGACAGUAAUAGCCACCGACAAGAAAAGAUUUCCCUUAGGGAAACGAGAGUGAGUGGCUUGGCAGAAUCAUGAGAAACACAGACCUUGCCCUGGAGAGUUGUGGGGUUCGAUGGCAGGGUUGAGUAAGGCAUAAGCUUCAGUAUGUGGCAUAUGAAGUGCAUCUUCAACAAACAGUGAACCUUUACCACAUCCCUUCUUGGUGCCAGGCACUGUGAGGGCCUUCUUUCUGUCAUCGUUUGAUCAGUAUGUGACAGGUGGCAUCACGUCCCCUGGUUUACUGAUACGAAUUCUGACAUGCAUGCCAAGCGACUUGUUAAAUACGACUUUUCUCAUUGCUGUAAUAAAAUACCCAACAAAGAAAGCAACUUAAGGCAGGCAUGGCUUAUCUUGGCUUACCGUUUGAGGGGCUACAGUCUUCACAGCGGAGGGUGCAGGAGUCAGCUGGCUCUAUUACAUUUAGUGAGGAAGAAGAGAGAAAUGCAUGUUGGGAUUCCACUCGCUUUCUACUUUUUCUUCAGUCUGGGAUCCCAGAUCACGGGAUGUUGCUGCUCACAUGCAGGGGGAUCCUCUUCAGGUAAAUCUCUACGGAACGAACACCCUCACAGACACACCCAGAGAGGCAUCUUCUAGGUGCAUCUCCAUAUCUAGUCAAGCUGACGAUGGAGUCCGACGGUCAAGGUUGCCUAAGGCCUCACAGCUGCGUGCAGCUCCGUGGGAAGGGCUGUGCUGAAAGCAGAAACAGUGGAGGAAAAUCCACAGAACUCGUAGUUCCUGUGUGGAGAUGAACGUCUUUCAAGGUGAAGAGUUUGCAUUUAAAACAUAAAAC
rnacentral:sRNA from 1 species